GCCGGGAUGGCUCAGUGGUAGAGCAGCUGAUUCGUAAUCAGCAGGUCGGCGGUUCGAAUCCGCCUCUCGGCU
rnacentral:tRNA from 1 species